rnacentral:lncRNA from 1 species
CACACCUCAGGACCAAGCCCUAAAUGAUCAUUUUGGAGACCAGGUGGUGGCAGGAUGAAUACUGGAGAUGGCUGGAGGUCAGAAACCCACCAGGGCAAGUGUCCAAAUAUUGGAUUCCAUGAUUAGAGGUGCAGGAGCACCUCUCUGGGGACUUAAAAUAGAUCACUUGCUGCAGAGAGGUCAUAUUUGGUGUAGUUCAGAAUGGCUCUGGUCUGCACCAGCUUUGUUCCGUCAGUCCCCACCAUGGACCCUUGCUCAAACAUCAGAUCUCCAUCUCUAUUCCAGCAGAGGCCAAAAGCCACUGGAUGGACUCCAUUCAUGCCCUGUGAAAUAAAGUAGUGAAGAAC